UACAGAGACUGCAAGCGUUUAUUCGGAUUCACUGGGCGUAAAGGGUGCGCAGGCGGCCAAGUGUGUGAGGUGCGAAAGCCCGGGGCUUAACCCCGGAAUUGCACCUCAAACUACUUGGCUAGAGCAUUGGAGAGGGUAGCAGAAUUCACGGUGUAGCAGUGAAAUGCGUAGAUAUCGUGAGGAAUACCAGAGGCGAAGGCGGCUACCUGGACAAUUGCUGACGCUCAGGCACGAAAGCGUGGGGAGCAAAAGGG
rnacentral:rRNA from 1 species